ACUCGUAAAACGAAAAAUAAUGCCAGGUCGAACUUACUAAUGAAUGGCGAAACUAUUUAAGAAGUUGAUAACCAUAAACACUCAGCCAAUAACAUUUCAAAG